rnacentral:rRNA from 1 species
GCUCGGACUGCAGGCUGCAACUCGCCUGCACGAAGCCGGAGUUGCUAGUAAUCGCGGAUCAGAAUGCCGCGGUGAAUGCGUUCCCGGGUCUUGUACACACCGCCCGUCACACCAUGGAAGUUGGGGGUGCCCAAAGCCGGCAGGGAAAUAUGCUGUCUAAGGCAAAACCAAUGACUGGGGUGAAGUCGUAACAAGGUAUC